rnacentral:piRNA from 1 species
UGGCUUAUGUCUAUCAAGGAACAUAGUUGC